rnacentral:tRNA from 1 species
UAGGAUAUAGCGUAAAAUGGUAACGCGUUUAUUUUGGGUAUAAAAGAUUGCAGGUUCGAGCCCUGCUAUCCUAA